rnacentral:rRNA from 1 species
CGAGGAUUCUCCCAGUAACGGCGAGUGAACGGAGAUGAGCCCAGCGCUGAAUCAUCGCGUCGCAUUGGCCCGAUGAGCUGUAGCGUAUAGGUGCAACUGUCCCGCUGUUUCGUGCACUCAAAGUCCCCUUGAGCGGGGCCACAGUCCAUAGAAGGUGCUAGACCUGUACGGGUGACGAAGCAUCGGGUGGGUUGCCCCUUGGAGUCGGGUUGCCUGAGAUCGCAGCCCAAAGUGGGUGGUAAACCUCAUCUAAGGCUAAAUAUGGCCACGAGACCGAUAGCAAACAAGUACCGUGAGGGAAAGUUGCAAAGAACUCUGAAAAGAGAGUUCAAGAGGACGUGAAACCGCUGGGAAGGAAGCGAAUAGAGUCGACGAAACCUGUCGUCAUUCAACCGAUCAGUCCUGCGGCCUGUCGUCGCCCUACCGCAUGCAACACUACGGAGCGCUGCGGCGACAGUCACUGCUGGGCGGAGUCAAGCCUGUGUGAUCGGUGCAUUUGACGGCGGUAUGCGCCGAGGGCCGCGUUCACGUGUGCACCCAAACUUCCGGUCCAGUGGACCGGUCGCCUCAGGCGGCCGGAAACCUAUACCGGGUUCUGGUGUAUCACCGAUUCGGUCAACAGCCGCGUACAGCAACCCCCGCAUUUCGCGCGUACUCAUCCUUUGGUCACGCACUGACGUGACACGUGCGCUUGCGCAUCGUGUCCGACACGUGCUCAUCCAACUGGGCGGGACACACGCGUCGGGGUUGUGUCUCGGCGUGAGCGUCGAUCACCUAUUCGACCCGUCUUGAAACACGGACCAAGGAGUCUAGCAUAUGCGCAAGUUAUUGGGUGGUAAACCCCAACAAAACGCAAUGAAAGUGAACGGCCGUCAGUCUGUGUGCGCUGCACUCGUGCAGCUUGCGGUGCACAAACGACCGCAAAAUGUGAGCCGGGCGCCCGGAGACGCGCCCGGCGCAACAUUGCCCCGUCCCGGUUGCCCUCGGCAACGGGGCGGAAGUAGAGCGCAUACGCUGGGACCCGAAAGAUGGUGAACUAUGCCUGAGCAGGAUGAAGCCAGAGGAAACUCUGGUGGAGGUCCGAAGCGAUUCUGACGUGCAAAUCGAUCGUCUGACUUGGGUAUAGGGGCGAAAGACUAAUCGAACUAUCUAGUAGCUGGUUCCCUCUGAAGUUUCCCCCAGGAUAGCUGGAGCACAUGCAAGAGCAGUUAUAUUCGGUAAAGCGAAUGAUUAGACGUAUUGGGGACGAAACGUUCUCAACCUAUUCUCAAACUUUCAAUGGGUAUGACGUUCCGCUUGCUUAACGCAUCGCAUCUCGCACACUCUGUGUGAAGCGUGAACACUGGAAUGUGUGCUCCAAGUGGGCCAUUUUUGGUAAGCAGAACUGGCGCUGUGGGAUGAACCAAACGUCGAGAUAAAGUGCCAAACUUCCCGCUCAUGAGACCCCAUGAAAGGCGUUGGUUGAUAUAGACAGCAGGACGGUGGCCAUGGAAGUCGGAAGCCGCUAAGGAGUGUGUAACAACUCACCUGCCGAAUCAACUAGCCCUGAAAAUGGAUGGCGCUUGAGCGGGAGACUUAUACUCGACCGUUGCUCGGCCUGUGCACAACACACAAACGAUGCCUGGCCGCAACGAGUAAGAGGGUCGCAGUGGUACGCGUCGAAGACUUUGGGCGUAGGCCCGGUUGGAGCUUCCACUGGUGCAGAUCUUGGUGGUAGUAGCAAAUAUUCAAGUGAGAUCCUUGAAGACUGAAGUGGAGAAGGGUUCCUCGUGAACAGCAGUUGGAUGCGGGUCAGUCGAUCCUAAGAUACCGGCUAAUGCCGUACACUCAUCUGAGACUCGGAGUUCAAAUCCAUCUCGGCCAUCGAAAGGGAAACGGGUUUAUAUUCCCGUACCUGGACACGGAGAUUGAGCGCCCAUUGCGGGCGCCCAGCGCGGCAACGCAAACCAACUCGGAGACGUUGCACAGAGCCCGAGCCAGAGUUCUCUUUUCUGGUUAAGGAACGGACUCCCUGGAAUCGAUUCACUCGGCGAUAGGGACGUUGUUUCCGUAAAGCGUCACGGUUACGGUGGCGUCUCGUGCGCUCCGUUCGACCCAUGAAAAUCCGAGCGAGGCUAUUCGAAUUUCGUGCCAGAUCGUACCGAUAUCCGCAGCAGGUCUCCAAGGUGAACAGCCUCUAGUCGAUAGAAUAAUGUAGGUAAGGGAAGUCGGCAAAUUUGAUCCGUAACUUCGGGAAAAGGAUUGGCUCUAAGGACUGGGCCGGUCGGGCUGCUGCGCGAAGUGGGCACGGUUUAACGCGUGCAGUGCAACGCGUGCUCACGCACGUGGAGCUCGGCUAGUGUUUCGACUGUCCUAUGGACCACAGCAGCUGUGCACCCUGCCCCUAACAGGGUAGUCGUGCUUCGUCCGGCGCUAAACAGUCAGCUUAGAACUGGCACGGACUCGGGGAAUCCGACUGUCUAAUUAAAACAGAGGAGACAGAUGGUCCUCGCGGACGCUGACUGUCUCUGAUUUCUGCCCAGUGCUCUGAAUGUAAAAGUGAAGAAAUUCAACCAAGCGCGGGUAAACGGCGGGAGUAACUAUGACUCUCUUAAGGUAGCCAAAUGCCUCGUCAGCCAAUUACUGACGCGCAUGAAUGGAUUAUCGAGAUUCCUACUGUCCCUAUCUACUAUCUAGCGAAACCACAGCCAAGGGAACGGGCUUGGCAAACACAGCGGGGAAAGAAGACCCUGUUGAGCUUGACUCUAGUCCGACUCUGUGAAGAGUCAUGAGAGGUGUAGCAUAAGUGGGAGGCUUUGCCAACAGUGAAAUACCACUACUUUCAUCGAUUCUUUACUUAUUCGGUAAGACGAGAAUUGAACCUAAACGGUUCUUCAUUCUGGUACAAAGUGCAGCCGCUUGGUGGCCGUACGACUCGCGCCGAAGACAGUGUCAGGCGGGGAGUUUGACUGGGGCGGUACAUCUGUCAAAUCGUAACGCAGGUGUCCUAAGGCUAGCUCAGAGAGGACGGAAACCUCUCGUAGAGUAAAAGGGCAAAAGCUCGCUUGAUCUUGAUUUCCAGUACGAAUACAGACCGCGAAAGCGUGGCCUAUCGAUCCUUUUGAAUUAGAAGGUCUCUAGCAAGAGGUGUCAGAAAAGUUACCACAGGGAUAACUGGCUUGUGGCAGCCAAGCGUCCAUAGCGACGUUGCUUUUUGAUCCUUCGAUGUCGGCUCUUCCUAUCAUUGCGAAGCAGAAUUCGCCAAGCGUUGGAUUGUUCACCCACCAAUAGGG